CCGCCCCUAGCUCAAUUGGUUAGAGCACCGAGCUUAUACCUCGGCGGUUCAUGGUUCGAGUCCAUGGGGGCGGA
rnacentral:tRNA from 1 species